GAAGCCUAAAUCUUUCACCACGCCACAGCUUCUUCUUCUUUGCACAACUAACCUUCCAUUCCUCCUCCGGUCGCUGCCGCCCGCCUCCCUCCGGCUUCGGCUCUUCUGUCGGCCCUUCCGGCGACUCCACAGAGGCAGCUUCCAACACCGCCAGGUAAGGCGGGAAUCCCCUACCCUACUAAAACUUUAUUUUCAAAUUUUAGAGCCCUAAAAUCAAUUUCUAGGGUUAAAUGCUAACAUUGACUAUAAAUUGAGAAGGACUGAUUGUCGUUCGUUGCCGACUCCCCGACUUGCCCAGAAUUUAUUUAAAAUCGGGUAUUUUCAGGUACCCGUCUAGCUACGUCGGGUGGGGGUUUGUAGGCAGAAUCGGGGUCGGGUUACGCCCAAUAGUCCCAAAUGUCAUUAGAAUUAUUUUACACAGAAUUUGAUUUGAAUUAAGUUCAUGUCCUAGUAUUCUUGUUUAAUCAAGCUAGCACUCUGAUUUGAUAAAUGACUGGGUUGUUAAAAGAAUAUAUUUCUACCUAGUAGAUUUCACCAAUUAUGAAUUUAUGAUAAUGUGAUUGUAGAAUAGGAGUACAACUUUUCAAAUUAAAAUAGAUACCAAUUUUUAUUUUCAAUCUAUUUGAAUUUUUGUUUUGUAUAAUCCGGUUGCCCGACCUUAUGUUGAUGGGCAUGAUGCAAAUCACUUGAGAAAAUUGAUUGUGUUUUGUCUCCACUAAAUUAUGUACACACUAUUGUUAGUAUUCUUUUUUGUGUGUGUGUAUUUAUUGAAUAACAGAAAAGAGGAACAACAAUAUUCAUAAAAUGUGUGCGUGUUGAUCUAGUAGUACUGUAGUAGUGUGGUUAACGUCUGAGGCCAAAAGUCUCAGGUCACACGAUCUUUAAAUUAAUUCACACACGAAAAAAACAAAAAAAAA
rnacentral:lncRNA from 1 species